rnacentral:rRNA from 1 species
GAUAAACGCUGGCGGCGUGCCUAAUACAUGCAAGUCGAGCGAACGGACGAGAAGCUUGCUUCUCUGAUGUUAGCGGCGGACGGGUGAGUAACACGUGGAUAACCUACCUAUAAGACUGGGAUAACUUCGGGAAACCGGAGCUAAUACCGGAUAAUAUUUUGAACCGCAUGGUUCAAAAGUGAAAGACGGUCUUGCUGUCACUUAUAGAUGGAUCCGCGCUGCAUUAGCUAGUUGGUAAGGUAACGGCUUACCAAGGCAACGAUGCAUAGCCGACCUGAGAGGGUGAUCGGCCACACUGGAACUGAGACACGGUCCAGACUCCUACGGGAGGCAGCAGUAGGGAAUCUUCCGCAAUGGGCGAAAGCCUGACGGAGCAACGCCGCGUGAGUGGUGAAGGUCUUCGGAUCGUAAAACUCUGUUAUUAGGGAAGAACAUAUGUGUAAGUAACUGUGCACAUCUUGACGGUACCUAAUCGGAAAGCCACGGCUAACUACGUGCCAGCAGCCGCGGUAAUACGUAGGUGGCAAGCGUUAUCCGGAAUUAUUGGGCGUAAAGCGCGCGUAGGCGGUUUUUUAAGUCUGAUGUGAAAGCCCACGGCUCAACCGUGGAGGGUCAUUGGAAACUGGAAAACUUGAGUGCAGAAGAGGAAAGUGGAAUUCCAUGUGUAGCGGUGAAAUGCGCAGAGAUAUGGAGGAACACCAGUGGCGAAGGCGACUUUCUGGUCUGUAACUGACGCUGAUGUGCGAAAGCGUGGGGAUCAAACAGGAUUAGAUACCCUGGUAGUCCACGCCGUAAACGAUGAGUGCUAAGUGUUAGGGGGUUUCCGCCCCUUAGUGCUGCAGCUAACGCAUUAAGCACUCCGCCUGGGGAGUACGACCGCAAGGUUGAAACUCAAGGGAAUUGACGGGGACCCGCACAAGCGGUGGAGCAUGUGGUUUAAUUCGAAGCAACGCGAAGAGCCUUACCAAAUCUUGACAUCCUUUGACAACUCUAGAGAUAGAGCCUUCCCCUUCGGGGGACAAAGUGACAGGUGGUGCAUGGUUGUCGUCAGCUCGUGUCGUGAGAUGUUGGGUUAAGUCCCGCAACGAGCGCAACCCUUAAGCUUAGUUGCCAUCAUUAAGUUGGGCACUCUAAGUUGACUGCCGGUGACAAACCGGAGGAAGGUGGGGAUGACGUCAAAUCAUCAUGCCCCUUAUGAUUUGGGCUACACACGUGCUACAAUGGACAAUACAAAGGGCAGCGAAACCGCGAGGUCAAGCAAAUCCCAUAAAGUUGUUCUCAGUUCGGAUUGUAGUCUGCAACUCGACUACAUGAAGCUGGAAUCGCUAGUAAUCGUAGAUCAGCAUGCUACGGUGAAUACGUUCCCGGGUCU